rnacentral:rRNA from 1 species
CAGUAGCCACGGUAAUACGUAGGGUGCAAGCGUUAAUCGGAAUUACUGGGCGUAAAGCGUGCGCGGGCGGUUUGUUAAGACAGAUGUGAAAUCCCCGGGCUCAACCUGGGAACUGCAUUUGUGACUGGCAAGCUAGAGUGUGGCAGAGGGGGGUGGAAUUCCGCGUGUAGCAGUGAAAUGCGUAGAUAUGCGGAGGAACACCGAUGGCGAAGGCAGCCCCCUGGGCCAACACUGACGCUCAUGCACGAAAGCGUGGGGAGCAAACAGGAUUAGAUACCCCUGUAGUCCCUGUCUCUUAUAC